GGCACUUUGGCCGAGUGGUCUAAGGCGCCGUGUUCAGGAGUUCGAUUGUCUCGCACAAUCGCCCCUCUUCGCGGUCUAGUAAUAGGCGAGGGUUCGAAUCCCUCAGGUGUCA
rnacentral:tRNA from 1 species